GCUUAAAAUCCAAAGGACUUGACGGUGUCCCAUCCCACUAGAGGAGCCUGUUCUAUAAUCGAUAACCCCCGCUAUACCUCACCAUUUCUCGCUUCCACGCAGCCUGUAUACCUCCGUCGCAAGCUCGCCACAUGAGUGACUCAUAGCAAGCUUAAUGACUUUUACGCCAACACGUCAGGUCAAGGUGCAGCCUAUGAAAUGGAAAGCAAUGGGCUACAAUUUCUAAAUUAGAACAAACGAACAAUCAUCUGAAACUAUGAUCUUAAAGGUGGAUUUAGUAGUAAAAGGGGAAAAUAGUGCCCCCUUUAACAGCGGCCCUGGGACGCGUACAAACCGCCCGUCACCCUCUUCAACAGCUUCUUAUCUGUUUAUAACACUCCCCCAUGCCACAAGAAGAGGCAAGUCGUAACACGGUAAGUGUACUGGAAAGUGCACUUGGAUAAACAAAAUGUAGCUUAGUAAAGCCUUCCGCUUACACCGGAAAGACAUCCGUUAAAACCAGAUCAUUUUGAGCCACAACUCUA
rnacentral:rRNA from 1 species